rnacentral:rRNA from 1 species
AACGCGAAGAACCUUACCCAGGUUUGACAUCCUUGGAAUUUUUGCGAAAGCAAAAAGUGCUUUAUUGAGCCAAGUGACAGGUGUUGCAUGGCCGUCGUCAGCUCGUGUCGUGAGAUGUUUGGUUAAGUCCAUCAACGAGCGCAACCCUUGUGAUUAGUUGAAUUUUUCUAAUCAGACUGCCCUGGCAACAGGGAGGAAGGAGGGGAUGAUGUCAGGUCAGUAUUACCCUUACACCUGGGGCUACAAACACGCUACAAUGGCCGGUACAAAGGGCAGCCAAGUCGCGAGACGGAGCAAAUCCCAUCAAAGCCGGUCUCAGUUCGGAUAGCAGGCUGAAACUCGCCUGCUUGAAGUCGGAAUCGCUAGUAACGGUAGGUCAGCUAUACUACCGUGAAUACGUUCCCGGGCCUUGUACACACCGACUGUAC